AAAAACAUCGCCUCUUGUAACCUACAAAUAAGAGGUCCCGCCUGCCCUGUGACUAUGGGUUUAACGGCCGCGGUAUUUUGACCGUGCAAAGGUAGCGCAAUCACUUGUCCUUUAAAUGAGGACCUGUAUGAAAGGCAUCACGAGGGCUUAGCUGUCUCCUUUUUCAAGUCGAUGAAGUUGAUCCCCCCGUGCAGAAGCGGGGAUUAGAACAUAAGACGAGAAGACCCUAUGGAGCUUUAGAUACAAGACAGAUCAUGUUAAGCACCUUAAAUAAAAAAGCAAACUAAGUGGAACCUGUCUUAAUGUCUUUGGUUGGGGCGACCGCGGGGCAACAAAAAGCCCCCAUGAGGAAUAAAAGUAUUCUUUCAAAAACAAGAGCCACAGCUCUAAUGAACAGAACAUCUGACCUACCAGAUCCGGCAUAGCCGAUCAACGAACCGAGUUACCCUAGGGAUAACAGCGCAAUCCCCUUUUAGAGCCCCUAUCGACAAGGGGGUUUACGACCUCGAUGUUGGAUCAGGACAUCCUAAUGGUGUAGCCGCUAUAA
rnacentral:rRNA from 1 species